UACGUAGGGGGCAAGCGUUGUUCGGAAUUACUGGGCGUAAAGGGAGCGUAGGCGGGCUCGUAAGUUAGGAGUGAAAUCCAUAGGCUUAACCUGUGGGUUGCUUUUAAGACUGCGUGCCUUGAGUAUUAGAGAGGAUGAUGGAAUUCCAGGUGUAGCGGUGGAAUGCGUAGAUAUCUGGAAGAACACCAGUUGCGUAGGCGGUCAUCUGGCUAAAUACUGACGCUGAGGCUCGAAAGCUAGGGGAG
rnacentral:rRNA from 1 species